rnacentral:rRNA from 1 species
UACGUAGGGGGCAAGCGUUGUUCGGAAUUACUGGGCGUAAAGGGCGCGUAGGCGGCCUGGUCAGUCGGAUGUGAAAGCCCGGGGCUCAACCCCGGAACGGCAUCCGAGACGGCCAGGCUGGAGACCGGGAGAGGAGAGUGGAAUAGCCAGUGUAGAGGUUAAAUUCGUAGAUAUUGGCUGGAACACCGGUGGCGAAAGCGGCUCUCUGGCCCGGUUCUGACGCUGAGGCGCGAAAGCGUGGGGAGCGAACGGG